UUCACAUUCUCUCUCAAGGAACAAGUCGCAUACUAAAUUCUUCUAAAGUCUUUAAAGAUCUCAUUCUUUGAGUAAAUCUGGAACAUAUCAGUAUCAUCCAUCAAUAAGUCUCCCGAAGUCUAAAUUUAUCCAGAAUUGUAUAUUGUAAAUGAAUCCAAUCGGAAUAUUUUACCCGAAACGACACCCCAACAACACAAAUUUUUACCACACGGAAGAAAUUGGGGUCCACAAAGUGUGCAAACUUGGAGAUCAAAUCGUUAUUAAAAUGGUCGUCGAAUUAUUCCAUCCGGACGAAAUAAAUGUGCGAACUUUAAACAACUCCGUCAUAAUUGAAGGCAAUCACGGAAUCGGGGAACACGACCAUUUAUUCCACCAAGUUACCCGCUCCUUCCAAAGGACGUUUCCACUCCCUCCGAACGCAGUUUUGGACCGCUUAACGUGCAACGUCGGACCGGACGGCUGACUCACCGUGGUCGUACCACUUAUCCCAGGAGAUGAGGGUGAAUUGAAGGGAACGUUGCACAAAGUGACGCAUCCGUUCGUCGAUGUGACCCCACACUUGCCAAGUUGGCAUGAAACCUUCCAGCUGAAGAUGGAAUGUCCUGGAGUGAAAAUUAGCAAGGAGCAGGUCGCGGUAAGGAUAAAUAUUUCAUGGUGAAAAUAUCUUUUACAUUUUCUUAAGCCGAGUACGGAGGACGUCAUUUCACGAGUGAAAUCGAAGACAGUGAACUGCGUGCAAUUUUGACAAAAUUUCAGGAUCCUCAAAAAAUUGGUUUUUUUACAAGGCUUGUAUCGUGAAAUCGACCCCCUAUUUUCACCAGCACCCUCGAUUUGGGAAACCAGGAGAAAUACUUGUACGAUACCUUCAAUUUUUGUAAACGCGGCUCAUUCAGGUCAAUUAUUUUAAUUUUUAAAAUUUUUUAAAAAUCAAUUUCUUUUUGGGGGGGGGGGCAAAGUGAUAUGAUCAUUAAUGAUGAUGUCCUGGCAUUGUGAAACUAUGUCGUGAAAUUUCAAGGAACAUUUCUCAGUUUUUUUUCACGAGGUGCAAGUAUCGUUAAAAAUGCUUAUUUUUUCACGGCUCGUGAAACAUACGUCCUCUGUACUUGGCUUUAGGUGGGGCGUAAAUAUGUAUUUAUAUAAUUUAAGAUAUCCCUCGAAAUCCCUAACUUCCUGCCGGACGAGGUACAAGUAAAGACCGUGGGUGACGAGUUGAUCAUCUUGGGAAGUCGGCACGAUGAUGGCGAGGAUGUCGUCCAAGGUCUCGGAGGAACCGGGAGCUGUGGCAAGAUUGGGGUUAAGGCCAACUUCACGAGGAAAUAUCCACUCCCACUGAAUUCCAAGAAAGACGCGAUUUACUGCGAAUUUAGUCAAAAUAUUGGCAAGGACAGCCCCACGUUAAGAGUUAUAGUGCCACGAGUCCCAUCAGUCGUGGGAGACGAGGAGAUAGAGCAUGUUAUAAAUAUUGUGUAAUAAAUUAUGCAUCCUCACGAUACAAGAGAAUAAACAGGAGUACUGCUGAAUUUUUAACGUAUUUACAUAA